rnacentral:rRNA from 1 species
UACGUAGGUGGCAAGCGUUGUCCGGAUUUACUGGGCGUAAAGAGCGCGCAGGCGGUCGUUCAAGUCGAGUGUGAAAGCCCCCGGCUCAACUGGGGAGGGUCACUCGAUACUGAUCGACUCGAAGGCAGAAGAGGGAAGCGGAAUUCCCGGUGUAGUGGUGAAAUGCGUAGAUAUCGGGAGGAACACCAGUGGCGAAGGCGGCUUUCUGGGCCUUACCUGACGCUGAGGAGCGAAAGCGUGGGGAGCGAACAGG